GGCAACUUGGCCGAGCGGUUAUGGCGCCAGUUUCAGGAAUUAUGUUCUACUGGUUCGAAAGAGCGUGGGUUCGAGUCCCACAGUUGUCA
rnacentral:tRNA from 1 species